UUUACUCUCUCCCCGUUUCUAUGUGAAGUUCUAUGAACUUUAACACAUGUAUAGAUCUGUAUAACCACACCAUAAUCAGGAUACAGAACAGUUCCAUCAUCCCAAAUAACCGUGCUAUCCCUUUAUAGUCAUACCCUCCCCCUACUCCAUCCCCUGUCAAUCACUCCACUUCCUGUCAAUCACUGAUCUGUUCUCCAUCCCUACAGUUUUAUCUUUUCCAGAAUGUCAUAUAAAUGGAAUCAUACAGUCUGCAAUCUUUUGAGACUGACUUCUUUCACUCAGCAUAAUACCUUUGAGAUUAUCCAAGUUUGUUGCAUGUAGUAACAGUUCCUUUUUGGUUGCUGAGUAAUAUUCUAUUUUCUGAAUGUAACACAGUUUGUUGCUGAACAUUUGGGUCGUUUCCAGUUUUUUGGCAACUUCAAAGAGCUAUAAACAUUUAUGUACAAGUUCAGUAAGCUGUUUUUUUGUUUGUUUAUCGACAGUAUACCAGAUUUCCCUUUAGCUUCGUCUUUCACCAGGGUGCGAGGCAGCAGGAAUGGUCCAGGUGCCUGCCUUCUAACCUCCCCGUCUGCUUGGAACUUUUCCUGCGCCCAGGACCACCCUGCCUGAGUCUCAAAUGUUUUUUCCUUUCCUGGUCAUCUACCCAGAAAACACCUUCAUUUCCUCUGCAACACACCCAAGGCCCAGGUGCACAGAUCUCCGUGACAGCCUGGAUGAUAACUGAGCUACAUCUUUAAACCCGUGAUUUCCUGCAAGCAUUUGGCAGCUGGGCCUACCCCGGGAGGCGGAACACGCAGGCGGCACCAGCAGAGAUCUGAACUCAGGCGCCGGCUGAGCACUGGGCAGCGUCCGCACGACACGGCGCUCCCGUGCUGCCCCGCGCGCUCCCGCCCCAGCCUCGUCACCUCGCGAGAUCUGGGCAUGAAGUCCCGCUCCACCGCGUGCCCCACGACCCGGCGUGGCUGGACAGGAGUUGCUUCUGCCGCUGGAACACUGUGUCCCUCCGCCGCCACGCUCCUGAGCUUCACGUGCCGCUCCUUAGCUGCGGUGAGCACCCUUGCUAAGGCAACAUUUCUGAUGGCGAGUCUGCUGGCUGCCGGCUUCCUUCUCCUUCGUGUCCUCCGCCUCCCCAGACCCGAGCACAGGCCUCCAGAUACGGCGCAGGCGGUAUGGACCGCCACCUACCACAACUCUAGGCAGUGGUUCCAAGGGUGUUGCUUCAUCCAUCUGGGUCACAGAAUGAAGAUGAUUUAGAGGAGAGCCACAGCUGGCCACCAUGACCAUGUUGCAAGAAUUAGAAAACAUCCUUUGUGGGUGACGUCCCUUGAGCUGGUGCAGCCUGCUGGUUUGUUAGGAUAGCUCCUUGAAUAGUGAGGCCUGCCUUUUCGGAUCCUGCUUCUCCUAACAUCUUAAGACCUUGGAAAAAUGCACUAAUGGGUUUUGUUCUAACUCUGCCUGGUCAUGUAGACACGAUUUUGGUCUUCAGUUGAAUUUGGCAGCCAUGGAAUUUGAGGUUGUGUAUAAAGUCAUCCAAAUUGGCAGCUCCAGCCACAUUGUUGGGACUAAUAUUACAGUGAACAAGUCCACUCAGGGCAAAAGGAAUCAGGCAGAAUUGCUGGAAUCACUACAAUUUUCAGAUGUACUCUCACCUCCCUGAAGAUUUAAAAACUACUCCUUAAGAAAUCCAUUAUUUAUAAUUAGUCUUCUUGAGUCUUAACAAUUUAUUUUUGUUACAUUUUUAUAUAUACAUUCUUAGGGCCAUUAGAAAAACCCACACACCUAUUCUCAGCCAUUACUUGGAUUCAACUCACUGUCAAAUCUACCAUUCUUUUUGCUUUGCUCUCUAUAUCCUUGUAAAAAGAAAACCCCCCAAAAAGCCACCCUCCAAUCCCUUCCCUCCAUGAAAGAACUGAUUUAAAAAUAAAAAGGCUGGAAUCAAUAGACCAGAUACGUCAGACUCAAAUGCUUAAAGGAUUAAGAAUGUGGCGGUGUAGCACAAGUUUUGGAGUUCUCUUACCUGAGCUGCCUCUGGCUAUAUUUGAGAGCUGGCAUUUCCCCCCUCCACCGCCUCCAUCAGAGGUGUUGCCAGUGUUUUUGUUAUCUCUGCUUGUGCCUCCAGGGUUGCUGGUGCCUUUGCUGCUGGUUUUGCUGUGGUCACAUGCAUCACCACCAGGGUCACUGGGAUGGCAGGCACCUCUGCUGUGUCCAAGGUUGCCUGGGUCACUAACACUGCUGCUGUGGUUGAUGCAGGGGAGCCAAGGUCACUGGCACCUUCACUGCACCCAAGGUUGUCAGGUUCCCAGGUACAACCACCAAAAGCAGGAAGGGUGGAGUUGCAGGAGCUGCCACUGCUCUCUCAGGGGGCCAGGGUCACAUUCCCUGUGGAGCCUGGGUUCCUUGUGGCCAUAAGUGCCACCGUGGCUGGGGGACUGGAGUCACAUGUACUCCUCCACUGAUGCUAUCAGGUUCUCUGGGGGUGAAGGCACCACUGCAGCUGGAGAGGGGGCGAGGGUCAUGGGCCCCACCUCCCCCACUGCUACUGGGAUUACUGGGGCUGUGGGCUCAGCUGCUGCAGCCAGGGAGGUGUGGUCUCAGGCCCCAUCUCUGCUGUUUCCCUGGUCUCACCACCUCUAUGCAUUCCAGUCUACCCGCCUUCAGAUGUACAGAUGUGUGGAUCCCUCCAGUGUCCUGGUGUGCUGAGCAGAGGAAACUUUGUUGAGUUAUGAAUAUCCUACCUAGUUGUAGAUUGAAGGAAAGAAACAAAAGGAGAAUCUCAUGCCACCAUGAUGCUGAUGUCACUCCUUGAUCUGUCUAUUCUUUUACCAAUAUUACUGCUUUCAUCAUUUUGGGUCUAUGAUUAAUAAAUUAUUUCAUCCCAUAAUCAUUGAGUACCUGGUGUGUGUCUGAAACUGUGUUUGGCAUGAGGAUACAGCAGUUUAUCAGGUGGACAUAGUUCCUGCCCUCACAUUCAUUGUUUCUAGUGCAGGAAACAGGAAAUAAUCAAUGUGUACAACCUAGUGAGCCAUGGGCACUGAGAAAAGAGGCACAAGGUGUUAGGGGAACAUAUGGUAAGGGUCUAUUCCACACUAGGAGUCAAUGAGGAUUCCUGGAUGAGUGAUAUCUAAGUUUAGUCCUGAGGUUCAUGGUAGGCAGGCAAACAGACGAGAGAGAAGUUGAAGAUGGAUGGAACAACAACCUGACAAUCUGAGAGUCAAUAGAGAGCCUGGUGCAUUUGAGAAGCUGAAAACAAUUCUGCAUGGCUGGAGCAGAGUACAGAGGGUUGGUUCCGGACAGGGGAGCCAAACUAUGUUAAGGAUCAUUGCCUUUACCCUGAAGACCAUGGGGAAUCAUUGAAAAGGUUUAAAUAAGAGAGUGACUUGACCAGAUUCACAUUUAAGGAAGAUCUGUCUGGCUGCAACAUAGAGGAUCAAUUGGAGUGGAGUAAAAAAUUUUGUCAGGGACAUUCGUUGUUCUAAUAAAUCAAAGGAAAAGAAAAUUGAUGCUGGCCUGAACUAGGGUAGUGGUACCAGGAAUGGAGAGAAUAUAGUGGAUCUGACAAAGUAUAAUUUGGUAUAUUUGGAAGAUAUUUAGGAGGUAAAAUUGGCAGAAAUUGGUGAUUGAUUGGAUGCUGAAUAUAAGGGAGAGGGAGGAAUGAGAGCUGAUAGCACAGGACGGUUGGGUACAUGUUGGUUCCAUUCACUGAGAGGGAAUGCAGGAAAGGUGAAUAUGAGAUGAGAAGAUGCUAAUUUUUGUGUAUGUUAAGUUUGAGAUGUAUGUGGUACACCCAGAACUACACGUCCAACAGGCUAUUGAAGUCUGAAUGAGAGUAAGACCAUCUGGAGCACAAAUUUGGUUGUCUUCAGUAUUUGAAGGAUGGACUAAGCUAUAAGGGUGGAUGUGAUCUCCCAGGCAGGAUUUAUAGAGUGAAAAUAGCAGAAGGGAAAAACAGAAAAGAGUGAUAGCUAAAGGUAUAAAGAUCAAUGUAAUUCAGACUUUCUAUCCAGGAAUAUUUUAUGACUGUCCUUUACUCAAAUCUUUUAUAACUCUCUGGAAAGUUUAUAGCUCUCUGUGGGUUUUGCAAAUUUUUUGUUAUCGUUGUUCCUGGUUAACUGCUGUUUUUUUCCUCUUAUUUUAAAUGUAAUCAUCUUAUUCUUGUUACUUUAUUAGUUACUAACCAGCUAUUGCUGGUACACAG
rnacentral:lncRNA from 1 species